ACGGGAGGCAGCAGUGGGGAAUUUUGGACAAUGGGGGAAACCCUGAUCCAGCGACGCCGCGUGAGUGAAGAAGUACUUCGGUAUGUAAAGCUCUAUCAGCAGGGAAGAUAAUGACGGUACCUGACUAAGAAGCUCCGGCUAACUACGUGCCAGCAGCCGCGGUAAUACGUAGGGGGCAAGCGUUAUCCGGAUUUACUGGGUGUAAAGGGAGCGUAGACGGAAGGCCAAGUCUGAUGUGAAAACCCAGGGCUCAACCCUGGGACAGCAUUGGAAACUGGUCAUCUAGAGUGCAGGAGGGGUAAGCGGAAUUCCUAGUGUAGCGGUGAAAUGCGUAGAUAUUAGGAGGAACACCGGUGGCGAAGGCGGCUUACUGGGCUGUAACUGACGUUGAGGCUCGAAAGCGUGGGGAGCAAACAGGAUUAGAUACCCUGGUA
rnacentral:rRNA from 1 species